UACGUAGGGUGCAAGCGUUGUCCGGAAUUAUUGGGCGUAAAGAGCUCGUAGGCGGUCUGUCGCGUCGGAUGUGAAAAUCCAGGGCUCAACCCUGGACCUGCAUUCGAUACGGGCAGACUAGAGUGUGGUAGGGGAGACUGGAAUUCCCGGUGUAGUGGUGGAAUGCGUAGAUAUCGGGAGGAACACCAGUGGCGAAGGCGGCUUCCUGGACCGGUUCUGACACUGAGGAGCGAAAGCGUGGGGAGCGAUCCGG
rnacentral:rRNA from 1 species